GUAAAGUUUUUAAAAAUACUUUGUUAAAAUGUCCCAUAACAUUAAUUUCAUCUGGGGUGAAUUCAUAUUACAUCUGUUAAUUUUAUUGGUAGCCUUUCUAAAGCAUUAUAUCUCUCCACAUAUUUGGGAUUUGGUUUGCAGGCUCAUUUAAUUUUUUGUCUUGUUUUGCUUUCUUUGUUUCUUUCAUUUUCCUUUCUUCCUGCUGAUCAUUUUUGUGGCUGGCCUGUUCCUGCACCAGUACAGGGUGAGGUGUCACUGUGGCCCUCUGGUAGCACCGUGGUGGUACUAGUGUCUCUGCAGAGCUAGGACCUGAGCCAGAGAAAGCUUGGCUCAUUUGUGACCAGGAGCUGACAUGGCUGGAGCUGUGGCCUCUGGGCUGAAUUUAGGUUCAAGCAGUCUGAAAACCACUGCCCUAUGUGGGGGUCUGCAGGCAUUUUUGACAUCAGCUUCUUAACUGGGGGAGCCCUGGACUCCAGGUGGCAAAUGUGGCUCCCAUCCCCCACCUCUGUGGAGAAUGCCUUGUUCUGCCAUCUCUGCUGGCUCCAGACCUGCAGCCAGCAGGCGCGUGGCUUUGGCCUCACUGCUGCUUUGCAUUCCUAUUCUGUUGGACAUUUUAAUUUGGCUUUUGAGCCUGGCCAUGUCUUUUUAGUCUUCUGUUGUUGUAUUUUACCUGCCCUGUGUGUUUGGAGCAGGGCCAAUGUAUCAAAGUGUGAACUCGAUGGGCGCUUUUGAUGGAGGAAGUCCUUGACUAAAUCAUAAAGAUUCCUUUCGGUUCCCUAUUCAAAGGCUGUAAUCUGCCGAGUAGAUCUUCAUAAUGGGGAUAUUCUACCUUUGUAUAGGAGACAGAAUGAUGUACUCAGUAUUUUUUUCCCCAGAAGACUGUCUUAGCAAUCUCCUUAGAGAAAACAGCAGCCUGCUACCCGACAAGUUAUUUCUUCUGUGGUCUCUCCAACACAUAUCCCUCUCUGAAAUUAUCUUAUUUUUCUGUGCACACAUUUGUCUCUCCCACUGGGAUCUAAGCUCCAUGAGAGCAGAAACCCUCUCUCAUUUCCCUUUUGUAUCCCCAACCCCUUAGCAAUCGUGUCUGUCACAUGUAGACACUCAAUAAUGUUCUGAUAAAUUACUGACUCAGUCACUGAAACCUGCCUGUGCCUCCUUAAUUCCAUGGCCAUGCUGAGCGACACCUGCUGCCCAGCCUCUUGUGAGUGCGGGAGCCAGCAUGGACCGGCAGCUAGGUAGGGUGACUAGCCUUGUUUGAUGCCUGCCUUCAUUCAUCAAAACUGUGUCACCAAGUGCCUGCUUUGGGCAAGGCACGGACAUCCAGGCGUUCGUACUGGAUUCAUUUUCUACAGCCUUUUCGAAUGUCACCUCGGUCCAUUGUCAGUCAUUGGAUUUCUCUGUAAAUCUCAGAGAUGAAUGGAGUGGAUAGGCUGUGCUUGAGUGGAUUAGCCACCUUGCUGGCUCCACCGUCAUGGGGCCCUGGCUCUGGGUUUGUGCCGAGGCAGGCAAGGCCCAUCCACUCAUAGAGUGUCUGUUCCAGGGGCGACACACUCACUGCUAUCUAAACAGCUGCACUGUAUUGCAGAUUGACCUGGCUAGGAUGGCUCUAAAGCGAGGGCUCCUAUUUUCCAUCUGUCUUCUCAGGGGUGAAGAGUCUCUGUGCCUGCGGAAGCUGAGGUGGCUAGGGAGCCUGGCCCAGAGCCUUAGCUCUGCACUCCAUUCCUGACACACAUGUUCAUGCUGUGCAGGCCCAGGAGCCAUGAGCUGAGCUCUUGGAGCCUCUGCCCAGAGGGUGCAUCCCGAAAUGUCAGCUGGACAGAGGGUGUCAUCAUCCUAUUCUGUGGGACUAUUGGCCAGAAAAAGGCAGGUCUGGAGACUGGGGAGACAUUCCUGUGCGGCUGCUUCAUUGUCUCAGACCAGCUUCCCCUCUGAUUGCACCAGGGCUGGGUAAUGGUUAAGAGCCGGCUGCUGAUGGCCCAGCACGCAUUAGCUAUGCUUGCAUUCCUGGGACGCUGCCCCAGCCCCAGCUUUGAAGAUCCUGUAAGAAAUCCUCAGCGUUCAGGCUCGCUGUUUGUAUUUAGCUUUUCUGAAGUGUUGGCAUUCCAUAGGCAUUCCAGAAGCCUUCUUGGCAUUUUUAGAUAUUCUGCAGCAGCCUCAGGAGCCAAGUUAUUACUCUCUCCAUUCUACAGGUAAGAGGGGAAUACGCAGGAGAAGAAGAGCAACUCGCUCAAACUUACAGGCCACUCAGUGGUCAAGCCACUAUUACUGCUGUACUCACAGUGGUCAGCCUGCCGCCAAGCCCUGCUGACCUGCCGUUUACCUGGGUGCAGCAUGGUCCUCUAAACCUGCGCUGACCCCCAGGCACUGUCGUGUGGCCAGCCUUCGUUUCUGAGCCCUCUGCUAGGGCCUCAGAAGGCUUUCAUGCCAGGGGUGUAGCAUUCCCCAGAAAGUGGGCUUUCAGAAAUGUCUGUUCUUGGCCUGCCUAGUGUUUUUGAACAGUUCAAACCCAUGUGCUGAUACCGUAGUGCGGUUUGAAGGCAGAAGCUCAGGACUUGGAGUCUGUUCAGUUGGGUUCAUGGUCCGUCUCAGACUAGUUUUAUGCUUAUGGAGGCUGUGAGAAGGGACACAGGGUGCCUAGAAUGGGGCCUGAGCACACCCAGCCCUUAGCAUGGGUGCAGACAGUAAGUGGAUGGCCUUCCUCCUCCUCACCAGCACCAAGGCAGCCUUCCAGAGUUCUCAGACCCCAGACAGAGGCAGUCCUUGGGGCCUUGUCCCAGAAAGGUCCUAAGAGGCUCAGAGGGUAUGGGUGACCCAGUGAGUAGGAUGUUUGUUCCCACCUUGCCCUGAUGCAGGUGUCACAUGGGAUGUGGGUGACCUCAUCCAUUUCUGUUGGGGUUUCCUUUCACCUGUGCAUAGUCCUGUGGGUCUAGUGUGCCAGGCUGUAUACUGUACCUAAGCAGGCUAGAACUUGGUGGAGUUGGGAAGCUACUGAGGUUGCCCAACUAGUUAAAGGUUGGGUAGGUUCAGCCCUGGGUCUGCGGACAACAGGGAGGGUCCUCAACCAUGUGCACCAGCUAUCCUGUUUGUUCCCUGUCAGGUGGGUGAGGGAGCAUCUGUCCUUUCCAGCUCUAGGAUGCUGGGGUUCAGAUACAGAGAGUUUGUACCACCAGAAGAAGGGGCACUUUGGCAUCCCUGCCUUGUUAUAGCUGAGCGUGUGAGACGCAUGGUGUGGAGCCAGAUGUGAGGACUCCCGGGGCCAGAGAGCAGCUGUGGCCUUUCUGCACCAUGUGCCUCAAGGCAGUGCAGCAGCCUGGGCCAGACCCAGGUUCAAAGCCCAGCUUGUCCCUCACAGCUGUGAGCUGAUACAGUCACCUAGCUCCUCUCCUUCAUCUGUAAUGGGGGUCAUGAUAAUCCUCUUUGCUUCUACACAUAUGUUGCAAGGGUCACAUGAGAGAAUCUGUGGAAAGUACUUGGCCCAGAGUAAGCAUUUGACAGCGGGUAGGGCUUGUCGUCUGUGAAGUGGUUCUAGCAGUUACCUGCCUGGAAGUCUUGCAGUGAAAAUGAAACACAAGGUAUGUAGUAGUCUGGCAUAGAUAGGUUUGCAAGUCAUUAUCGCCACCAUUGUCAUUGUUAAUGUCACCGUGAGCAGGAAUCAGCCCUGUUUCUCCCACCAGCCCCAGCCCAGCCCAGCCCCAGCACCGCCGGCUAAUGUGGGCUUUGUUCUCU